UUUUUUAAUCUUGAGAAAUUGCGCCUAAUUCGAAAUGUUCAAAAUAGAAUUUCAACGUUCAAUUCAAGCAAUAUCGAAACCGAGCCCGCUGGGAGCGUAUAAAAGGCAGCACCGCUAUGACGUCAAACGAAAACGUCCCGUGACGAAGUUCGAAUGCUAUGGCAUGUCGCGACAAAUACUGAUAUCACACGUCGCGGCAGGUGUUUAUCAGCAAAAUGUGCUGUAUCAGUAUCUGCUGCGGCAUGCAGGGUCACUUCGAUUUGGCUGCGACCCGACGAGGUCACGGGAUCAAAUCCCGGCCGCGGCGGCUUUCGAUGGGGGCGAAAUGCAAAAGCACCUGUGUCCCGUGCAUUGGCGGCACGACCCCAGGUGGUCAAAAUUAAUCCGGAGCCCCCCACUACGGCUGCGCUUUCUGCACUAUUUCAGGGAGUGCAGCACUCCUCGACCUGACAGCGCUGCGCGCGCCACCCGUAUAUAUGUGCAACGGAAAAAAGAUUAGCACAAGUAACCGAACACCCGAUCAGGUAAAUUGCGGCACGCGACGCUGUUGUGCCCUACCACGGCGAAAACGCGAGUGCCAGGCACCCCCUCUUUGACGCGUGGAUCAUGUGACACUGUAGAUACCAGUGUGCACGGGAACAAGAGCGCCGCCUACCGCAAUUUCCCUGCUCCGGUCAUCAGCCACCUGUGUUAAUCAUUUUCCGUUGCAGCUGUACCAGCACCGGGGUCUUCGAUUUGACUUAGUGCGAGACCUGUUCAUUACAAGUUCGCUGUUAUCCUGCACUCGCUUAUUUGAAAGCGCAGCCGCCGUGCAAGCUCUCUCUAGCACACGACAUGGCGCAGCGCUAGUUAAUUCAUGUGGUGCGCGAACAUAAAUGUCUCCCGCUGUGUCUAGAACAGAUCACGUUAUCUAGCUGGCACAAGGUUGUGAGGCACAAGUUCGAUGUCUGAUUGGUUUGGUUGUCAAGACACGCAAGUAAACAAUGUUGCAGUUUCGCCCGAAAGGCAAAGCAUCAAUUGCAAUAGCAAAUUAGUAGAGAGCUAUUUGGAGUAGGGAUAUUAGUUUUAUCGGCUGCAUAAACUUGGACACAUUCGCUUACUAACUGAAUUAACAAGCGUGGUGUCAGCGCGCACAAGCAAACAUGAAUAGAUCACACUCAAUGACCGCAGACGACUGUCAAAACGCUGGCAGCAAGCACAGCUGCUGCAGCAAGCGAAGAUUCGUGCGGUCUAUCGCUCCAACUGAAACUGACGAAUGCACAGCGCAUACAAAGGUCAGAGCCGUGUGGAGAUCGCUUUUACGAGACGGUGCGGGCGACCGCCACAGCAGGGCAAAGUACAAGCGCAGUUGUUAGCAGUGUAGAAGCUGCCCCCCCCCCUCCCUCCCGCGUUGCCUUCCCGCUUUCUUGCUUUCACGUGGGAGAUUGAGUGGCCAGUUCCCCUUGCGCCCGGUUGCAAGAUACGCAUUUGGUGCCGCAGCACAGCGUCGCCCCGCCUCCCUCCUUCCUAUACCCCACGGCCUUUCGCGCGGCGGCAGUCGCGUUUGCUUUCCGCCGUGCGUUCGCUCUCCGUGAUAGCGCGCGUCCCCCGCGCGCUUUCACUCGCGCAUACGGCACGCGGCGACGAUUUUAUCGCCCUUGGACUUUAUAUGGAACCUCACGGCGAUGGCAGAAAUUCGGUUGAAGUGUCCAUAUAAUUGCUAUCGCAAUAAAACUUGUAGCUUGCGAGGGUGAGCCGAGAAAUAUGGUGGCUUGAUGCGGCCGGUGUCUUGGGCUCGCAAGGGAAUCCGGUGGGGUGGAUGCGCGCCGUCUUCUCACGCCCGCUAGGAGAAUGGGGGAAGCGGGGGCAGGUUAGUGCGCAUAUCCUCCUCUACACCAGCUGCAACGGCUAAGCGCGGCAGCGCGCGUUAUAUCUUGGAGGCAAUCUGCACUGGGGUCGAAGGCUAGCCGGCCGGAUAUAGCCGACAGCUUCGUGUGUGCUCUGUUCUCGCGCGCAUGGUUCGCGUUGAAGCGAGAGGCAGGGGAAUUAGCUCGCCGCUGCUGCCGCUCUUCACCAUGCCAGCGUUCCGACAGCGAGUGUCCGUGGUCAUCGAGUAAAAUGUGUUCGUGUUUGCCUGUGCGCGCGUGACAACGAACGUGCAUAAUUUAGCUAGUAAGCGAAUGUUCACAGCAGUUUAUGCAGCUGAUAAAAUGAUUAACUUUAUUUCGUCUAAUAAUUUGAUAUCGCGAUGAAUGCUUCGCCUGUCACGCGAAACUGACUUUUUAUAACUUAUUCUUCCGAAACUUACGUUGUAAGCAGCAAUGCAUAUCCGCCCCGCAUUACACUCUCUACAAAAACGCCACAUUCGCUAUACGCUCACAGCCGUUUUAUAAAAAUUAUGUAUAUUCUAAAAAAAAAAAAACUUUUAUUAUAAGCCCACGGUAACCAUGCUGCCAAGAGUGAUGCCGUGUUGCACACCGCUGUACAAACAUUUUUUUUUUCUUGUCUUUUGUACACAGCCAUGUAAAAUGUUCAGCAUGGUUUCAUUACUUGUACAUAUGUACAUGAAACGGUCUCUUCUCGAGAUCGGUUAUUUGCGAAUAAAACUGCGCAUCCUUUAU